GACGAACGCUGGCGGCGUGCUUAACACAUGCAAGUCGAACGGUGAAGGGAUCAGCUUGCUGGUUCUGGAUGAGUGGCGAACGGGUGAGUAACACGUGAGUAACCUGCCCCCUUCUUCUGGAUAACCGCAUGAAAGUGUGGCUAAUACGGGAUAUUCUGCGCCUGCUGCAUGGUGGGUGUGGGAAAGAUAUUGUUUCGGUGGGGGAUGGGCUCGCGGCCUAUCAGCUUGUUGGUGGGGUGAUGGCCUAGCAAGGCGGUGACGGGUAGCCGGCCUGAGGGGGGGGACGGUCACACUGGGACUGAGACACAGACCAGACUGCUACGGGAGGCAGCAGUGGGGAAUAUUGCACAAUGGGCGCAAGCCUGAUGCAGCGACGCCGCGUGAGGGAUGGAGGCCUUCGGGUUGUGAACCUCUUUCGCCAGUGAAGCAGGCCUGUCCCUUGUGGGUGGGUUGACGGUAGCUGGAUAAGAAGCGCCGGCUAACUACGUG
rnacentral:rRNA from 1 species